CUGCCGCCGCCGCAACGGUGUCGGCCCCGCCUCUGACCUUACAUAAUGCGCCCGGUCGGGCCCUGCCCGCCCUCCGUUAGUUUCUCUGGUAUGUGCACUGGAGCUAUGAAGCCCAAGAGAAUCACUUGGAGAUGUACAUCUGGACAGCCCAUGUCAGCCAUGAGGAAGUUCUUAUUAUAAAUCGUUUAUUGAGAGAUACAACCCUGCAGCCCGCUGACCUCUGAAAGCAAACGGGGAGUUUGCAGAAACACAGGAUUCCUUGCAGGCUAAAUCAUUUGGCCUGUUAUCAGCAAGAUGCUGGAUGGUGAAGCCCUGAGGUACUAACCAAUGAGGCUGUAGAGAUUGUAUGGGUGCUCUCUGCUAAUCCAGCCAUCACAGUCAUGAGGCAGCAUGUGUUAUGUGCAGGAGAAAGCUACCCUUUCCACUUCUCAUUACUCUUCUGGUGGAUCUCACUGUUUUUACUGCCAGCUCAUGGACAGAGGUGCUCAGGAGCAUAUUAAGUCAGAUGUCUUUGCUCCACACCUGAAUGAUUCCAGCCUCCUGAAAGAGGCAGUAGCAGUGAAAGUGCAGAAGGAAUACUCUUAUCUGAAUACAGAAUUGAUGGCUCCAACAGUUUUGGAGAUGUUGAUGUUCACACCAUAGGUUAUUGAUGUACACAAGUAAAGGUACUGAGCACAGCAAUGUGAUUUGACAGCACUUUCCCAAGAUGUCAGUGAGUGCACUGGAUUCUCAUAUCUAAAGCCUCCUUGGUAGUCUAUAGAGAAUCAGUCAGUCUUAGCCUGCCAU